rnacentral:rRNA from 1 species
UGGGGAAUAUUGCACAAUGGGCGCAAGCCUGAUGCAGCCAUGCCGCGUGUAUGAAGAAGGCCUUCGGGUUGUAAAGUACUUUCAGCGAGGAGGAAGGCGUUGUGGUUAAUAACCGCAACGAUUGACGUUACUCGCAGAAGAAGCACCGGCUAACUCCGUGCCAGCAGCCGCGGUAAUACGGAGGGUGCAAGCGUUAAUCGGAAUUACUGGGCGUAAAGCGCACGCAGGCGGUCUGUCAAGUCGGAUGUGAAAUCCCCGGGCUCAACCUGGGAACUGCAUCCGAAACUGGCAGGCUAGAGUCUUGUAGAGGGGGGUAGAAUUCCAGGUGUAGCGGUGAAAUGCGUAGAGAUCUGGAGGAAUACCGGUGGCGAAGGCGGCCCCCUGGACAAAGACUAACGCUCAGGUGCGAAAGCGUGGGGAGCAAACA